AGCACCUUCGGGUGUGAAUUAGCGGCGAACGGGUGAGGAACACGUGAGAAAUCUGCCUUCAACUCUGGGAUAACUCCGUGAAAACGGGGCUAAUACCGGAUAUGAGAUCUACAGGCAUCUGUGGAUCUGGAAAGUUUUUCGGUUGAAGAUGAUCUCGCGGCCUAUCAGCUUGUUGGUGAGGUAAUGGCUCACCAAGGCGACGACGGGUAGCCGGCCUGAGAGGGCGACCGGCCACACUGGGACUGAGACACGGCCCAGACUCCUACGGGAGGCAGCAGUGGGGAAUAUUGGGCAAUGGAGGAAACUCUGACCCAGCGACGCCGCGUGCGGGAUGAAGGCCUUCGGGUUGUAAACCGCUUUCAGCAGGGAAGAAGCGAAAGUGACGGUACCUGCAGAAGAAGCACCGGCUAACUAUGUGCCAGCAGCCGCGGUAAUACAUAGGGUGCAAGCGUUGUCCGGAAUUAUUGGGCGUAAAGAGCUCGUAGGUGGUUCGUCACGUCGGAUGUGAAACUCUGGGGCUUAACCCCAGACCUGCAUUCGAUACGGGCGAGCUUGAGUAUGGUAGGGGAGUCUGGAAUUCCUGGUGUAGCGGUGGAAUGCGCAGAUAUCAGGAGGAACACCAAUGGCGAAGGCAGGACUCUGGGCCAUUACUGACACUGAGGAGCGAAAGCGUGGGGAGCGAACAGGAUUAGAUACCCUGGUAGUCCACGCCGUAAACGGUGGGCACUAGUUGUGGGGACCUUCCACGGUCUC
rnacentral:rRNA from 1 species